rnacentral:rRNA from 1 species
UGGGGAAUUUUGGACAAUGGGCGCAAGCCUGAUCCAGCCAUGCCGCGUGCAGGAUGAAGGCCUUCGGGUUGUAAACUGCUUUUGUACGGAACGAAAAGGUGCCUUCUAAUAAAGGGCGCUCAUGACGGUACCGUAAGAAUAAGCACCGGCUAACUACGUGCCAGCAGCCGCGGGAAUACGUAGGGUGCGAGCGUUGAUCGGAAUUACUGGGCGUAAAGCGUGCGCAGGCGGUUUUGUAAGACAGAGGUGAAAUCCCCGGGCUCAACCUGGGAACUGCCUUUGUGACUGCAAGGCUGGAAUGCGGCAGAGGGGGAUGGAAUUCCGCGUGUAGCAGUGAAAUGCGUAGAUAUGCGGAGGAACACCGAUGGCGAAGGCAAUCCCCUGGGCCUGCACUGACGCUCAUGCACGAAAGCGUGGGGAGCAAACA